AAAUAAGAAACAAUAAUUUGUAUUUAGUUUCGACCUAAAAUUUAGUCAUAAAGACCUUAUUUA
rnacentral:tRNA from 1 species